UGGGCGCAAGCCUGAUCCAGCCAUACCGCGUGGGUGAAGAAGGCCUUCGGGUUGUAAAGCCCUUUUGUUGGGAAAGAAAUCCUGUCGAUUAAUACUCGGUGGGGAUGACGGUACCCAAAGAAUAAGCACCGGCUAACUUCGUGCCAGCAGCCGCGGUAAUACGAAGGGUGCAAGCGUUACUCGGAAUUACUGGGCGUAAAGCGUGCGUAGGUGGUGGUUUAAGUCUGCUGUGAAAGCCCUGGGCUCAACCUGGGAAUUGCAGUGGAUACUGGAUCACUANAGUGUGGUAGAGGGAUGCGGAAUUUCUGGUGUAGCAGUGAAAUGCGUANANAUCAGAACGAACAUCCCNUGGCGAANGCGGNAUCCUUGGGCCAACACUGACACUGAGGCACAAAGCGUGGGGAGCAAACAGGAUUAAAUACCCCUGGUANGUCCACGCCCCAAACGAAUGCGAACUGGAUUGUUGGGUUGCAACUUNGCACCCC
rnacentral:rRNA from 1 species